CCUACGGGAGGCAGCAGUGGGGAAUAUUGCGCAAUGGGCGAAAGCCUGACGCAGCGACGCCGCGUGAGGGAUGAAGGUCUUCGGAUCGUAAACCUCUGUCAGCAGGGAAGAACGGUCACUGUGCUAAUCAGCAGUGAAUUGACGGUACCUGCAAAGGAAGCACCGGCUAACUCCGUGCCAGCAGCCGCGGCAAUACGGAGGGUGCGAGCGUUAAUCGGAAUUACUGGGCGUAAAGCGCUCGUAGGCGGUAUGUCAAGUCAAGGGUGAAAUCCCCGCGCUCAACGUGGGAACUGCCUUUGAAACUGGCAGACUGGAGUGUGUGAGAGGAUAGUGGAAUUCCAGGUGUAGGGGUGAAAUCCGUAGAUAUCUGGAGGAACAUCAGUGGCGAAGGCGACUAUCUGGCACAUAACUGACGCUGAGGAGCGAAAGCGUGGGUAGCAAACAGGAUUAGAUACCCUUGUAGUC
rnacentral:rRNA from 1 species